UAUAGUCCGCCACCGAUCCUCUGUAAAGCUCCUUCGACNAGUCNAGUAGUUUGGGAAUGCUGCUCAAAAAAAAAGGUAUAUCUUUUCUAAAGCUAAAUAUUGGCCAGAGACCGAUAGCGCACAAGUAGAGUGAUCGAAAGAUGAAAAGCACUUUGAAAAGAGGGUUAAAUAGCACGUGAAAUUGUUGAAAGGGAAGCGCUUGUGACCAGACUUGUGCCGGGCUGAUCAUCCAGUGUUCUCACUGGUGCACUCGACCCGGCUCAGGNCUNCGUCGGUUCUCGUAGGGGGAUAAAAGCNNCGGGAACGUGGCACCUUCGGGUGUGUUAUAGCCCGUUGCUUAAUACCCUUGUGGGGACCGAGGUUCGCGCUCUGCAAGGACGCUGGNAUAAUGGUCAUCA
rnacentral:rRNA from 1 species